CACGUAGGGUGCGAGCGUUGUCCGGAAUUAUUGGGCGUAAAGAGCUCGUAGGCGGUGUGUCGCGUCGGCCGUGAAAACUUGCAGCUUAACUGUGGGCGUGCGGUCGAUACGGGCAUCACUGGAGUUCGGCAGGGGAGACUGGAAUUCCUGGUGUAGCGGUGAAAUGCGCAGAUAUCAGGAGGAACACCGGUGGCGAAGGCGGGUCUCUGGGCCGAUACUGACGCUGAGGCGCGACAGCGUGGGGAGCAAACAGG
rnacentral:rRNA from 1 species